AAAGCGCGCGUAGGUGGUUUGUUAAGUUGAAUGUGAAAUCCCCGGGCUCAACCUGGGAACUGCAUCCAAAACUGGCAAGCUAGAGUAGGGCAGAGGGUGGUGGAAUUUCCUGUGUAGCGGUGAAAUGCGUAGAUAUAGGAAGGAACACCAGUGGCGAAGGCGACCACCUGGGCUCAUACUGACACUGAGGUGCGAAAGCGUGGGGAGCAAACAGGAUUAGAUACCCCGGU
rnacentral:rRNA from 1 species